rnacentral:rRNA from 1 species
AAAUUGAAGAGUUUGAUCAUGGCUCAGAUUGAACGCUGGCGGCAGGCCUAACACAUGCAAGUCGAACGGUAACAGGAAGAAGCUUGCUUCUUUGCUGACGAGUGGCGGACGGGUGAGUAAUGUCUGGGAAACUGCCUGAUGGAGGGGGAUAACUACUGGAAACGGUAGCUAAUACCGCAUAACGUCGCAAGACCAAAGAGGGGGACCUUCGGGCCUCUUGCCAUCGGAUGUGCCCAGAUGGGAUUAGCUAGUAGGUGGGGUAACGGCUCACCUAGGCGACGAUCCCUAGCUGGUCUGAGAGGAUGACCAGCCACACUGGAACUGAGACACGGUCCAGACUCCUACGGGAGGCAGCAGUGGGGAAUAUUGCACAAUGGGCGCAAGCCUGAUGCAGCCAUGCCGCGUGUAUGAAGAAGGCCUUCGGGUUGUAAAGUACUUUCAGCGGGGAGGAAGGGAGUAAAGUUAAUACCUUUGCUCAUUGACGUUACCCGCAGAAGAAGCACCGGCUAACUCCGUGCCAGCAGCCGCGGUAAUACGGAGGGUGCAAGCGUUAAUCGGAAUUACUGGGCGUAAAGCGCACGCAGGCGGUUUGUUAAGUCAGAUGUGAAAUCCCCGGGCUCAACCUGGGAACUGCAUCUG